rnacentral:rRNA from 1 species
CCUACGGGAGGCUGCAGUGAGGAAUAUUGGUCAAUGGACGAGAGUCUGAACCAGCCAAGUAGCGUGAAGGAUGACUGCCCUAUGGGUUGUAAACUUCUUUUAUAAAGGAAUAAAACGAGGCACGUGUGCCUUUUUGCAUGUACUUUAUGAAUAAGGAUCGGCUAACUCCGUGCCAGCAGCCGCGGUAAUACGGAGGAUCCGAGCGUUAUCCGGAUUGAUUGGGUUUAAAGGGAGCGUAGAUGGGUUGUUAAGUCAGUUGUGAAAGUUUGCGGCUCAACCGUAAAAUUGCAAUUGAUACUGGCAGUCUUGAGUACCGUUGAGGUAAGCGGAAUUCGUGGUGUAGCGGUUACAUGCUUCGAUAUCACGAAGAACCCCGAUUGCGAAGGCAGCUUACUAAACUGUGACUGACAUUGAUGCUCGAAAGUGUGGGUAUCAAACAGGAUUAGAUACCCCGGUAGUC